rnacentral:lncRNA from 1 species
CCGGGCAAGGAACGUUAAGUAACUUCUUUCUGAUCCUUUUUUUCCUCAACUAAAAGCAGAAAAAGUUUGGCUUAGUCAUCUGCAACUUCACUUUCAGUUCUCACCACCAUGCUGGUUUUCUUCCCAAAAGCAAAAGCUGACCCCAAGCUUGAUAGGCGAAGUCUCCACUGAGCUCCAGGCCACAUGAGAAAUGCUGACUGUGAGGACGAAGGACCAAUCUUUGUGUGUGCACAGCAGGGAAAGGACUAAUCAUUCCACACUGGCCUCUUCCACUACAACCUUCUGUACAAAUAACCAUCAUCCCCAGAGCACCAUCUUAUCAUUAGGAAGGACAGAAGAAGAAGAGUACAGUGUGUUUUAAACUGUCUUUGUG